rnacentral:tRNA from 1 species
GGCACCGUAGCUCAAUCGGCAGAGCAGCGGCCUUAUAAGCCGUCCCGCAAGGGUUCCGACAGAUAAUCGGCAGGUUCUGGGUUCGAAUCCCAGCGGUGCCACCA